rnacentral:rRNA from 1 species
UACGAAGGGGGCUAGCGUUGUUCGGAAUUACUGGGCGUAAAGCGCGUGUAGGCGGGUCUUUUAAGUCAGGGGUGAAAUGCCAAGGCUCAACCUUGGAACUGCCUUUGAUACUGGAGACCUUGAGUCCGGGAGAGGUGAGUGGAAUUGCGAGUGUAGAGGUGAAAUUCGUAGAUAUUCGGAGGAACACCAGUGGCGAAGGCGGCUCACUGGUCCAUUACUGACGCUGAGGUGCGAAAGCGUGGGGGAGCAAACAGG